GCGCUAAUUAUAGACGUGAAUGGAAAGCGGCCGCUUCUGAAUGAUCGCGUUGCUCGAGCUGCCGUUGGAAGCUUAGAAGCAGGUGCUACCGUGCUAGAUACAAAGCGAUCUAUUUAAAAGCCCUCUGUCACGCACGCACACUUACUGACGAAUCCUCUGGCUCUCUCCUACCACCGCCCGGUGGCGGAUUCCGGAAUUGGUUCAAAAGGCCUUGAUCCCGAACACCCAGGACAGAGACAGAGUACUUUUCCUACCUCUUUCGCCUGCAUCCUUAGAAAACUCCCGUGGAUGAGAAGAUCCCCAGGCCUUUACAAGCUGUUGUUUUACAAAAGGAGAAACUGAGGCAGGAAGAGGCGGUGGAUGUGCACCAGAGCACGUGGUGCGUCGGUGCAAUAGCUGAGGGCACAUGGAACAUUCACCAAGAUAAACCAUAUGCUGGAACAUAAAAUUUAUGGAUGUCACCCAUGAAGCAGAGUCCUUCAGACCCUCAAUCAAAAACAAGUCUCAUUUUACAUUAAAUUGGAGGACUAUCUGGAGUCUCUGACCACCGUGUGACAGAAAAGAGAGCAGAAUUGUUGCAUGAUGGGUAACACUCAUCAGUAAUCGCUGUUUGCCAAGCCAUCUGGGAGGAGACCAAAGAGCUAUAAAAUAAGUUCAGGCACGGUGGCUCAUGCCUGUAAUCCCAGCACUUUGGGAGGCCGAGGUGGGUGAAUCACCUGAGGUCAGGAGUUCGAGACCAGCCUGGCCAACAUGGUGAAACCCUGUCUCUACUAAAAAUACAAAAAAAAUAGCUGGGUGUGGUGGUGGGUACCUGUAAUCCCAGCUUCUCAGGAGGCUGAGGCAGGAGAACUGCUUGAACCUGGGAGGCAGAAGUUGCAGUGUGCCGAGAUUGUGCCACUACUCUCCAACCUAGGCAACAGAGCGAAUCUACAUCUCAAAAAAAAAAUAAAUAAAAAUAAAAAAUAUAUACAUAGGUACCAGAGCUGAGAACGUAGCAGCCUGGGACCAUGUCAUUCAGGAGCAAAUAACAAGCCCAGAAAAUGCCUGGGAGAAGUCUUGUACCAGUCCACUUCAUGGUUUAGUAGGAACAUCAUGGACUCAGCUGACAAUGAUUUGGGCAUGGCCCUGCCACUAACCCACGAGAAGCUGUAGACCAGUCCCUUUCAUUUCCCCUUUCUGGGGACCCGCUUCCCCUUGUGCAAAAUGGAGUCACUAGAAUCUAGUGUCUUGAUCUCCAAGAUGAUUUCCACUUUUAC
rnacentral:lncRNA from 1 species